rnacentral:rRNA from 1 species
AUUGAACGCUGGCGGCAUGCCUUACACAUGCAAGUCGAACGGCAGCGGGCCUUCGGGUGCCGGCGAGUGGCGAACGGGUGAGUAAUGCAUCGGAACGUGCCAUUGAGUGGGGGAUAACGUAGCGAAAGUUACGCUAAUACCGCAUAUUCUGUGAGCAGGAAAGCAGGGGACCGCAAGGCCUUGCGCUCUUUGAGCGGCCGAUGUCAGAUUAGCUAGUUGGUGAGGUAAAGGCUUACCAAGGCGACGAUCUGUAGCGGGUCUGAGAGGAUGAUCCGCCACACUGGAACUGAGACACGGUCCAGACUCCUACGGGAGGCAGCAGUGGGGAAUUUUGGACAAUGGGCGCAAGCCUGAUCCAGCCAUGCCGCGUGAGUGAAGAA